rnacentral:rRNA from 1 species
UACGGAGGGUGCAAGCGUUAUCCGGAUUCACUGGGUUUAAAGGGUGCGUAGGAGGGCAGGUAAGUCAGUGGUGAAAUCCUAGAGCUUAACUCUAGAACUGCCGUUGAUACUAUCUGUCUUGAAUAUUGUGGAGGUGAGCGGAAUAUGUCAUGUAGCGGUGAAAUGCUUAGAUAUGACAUAGAACACCAAUUGCGAAGGCAGCUCGCUACACAUAUAUUGACUCUGAGGCACGAAAGCUGGGGAGUCAA